rnacentral:lncRNA from 1 species
CACCCCCAUUGCCUCGCCGCCCUGGCCAAGCUCCGCCCCCUGGAGGGCGGGGCCAGCGCCGAGGGGGCGGAGCUUCAGCCGUCCCCCGCCGGUUCCCGCGCCCUGCAGCUGCUGCUGCGGUUCCGCUGCACAGGCCCCGCCCCCAUGGAGACAGGCCCCGCCCACAUCGACACAGGCCACGCCCCCAUGGAGACAGGCCCCGCCCACAUCGACACAGGCCACGCCCCCAUGGAGACAGGCCACGCCCAUAUCGACACAGGCCACGCCCCCAAUGGGACAGGCCACGCCCAUAUCGACACAGGCCACGCCCCCAAUGGGACAGGCCACGCCCUCAGUGGGACAGGCCACGCCCCAAAUGAGACAGACCACGCCCCCACCGGUCCAGGCCACGCCCCCUCCAUUAUCCCCAAUGGGACAGACCACGCCCCCCGCAAAAGGCACAAAUCGCCAGGCCACGCCCCCA